GGUGCUGCGUUCCAUAGAGUUUCCUAAAGUUUUAGAAAAUUAUAUGCUGUGUUCCUCGUGAAAGUCUGGGAUGCUGCUUAGUGCUCGGAGAAUGCGAUCGGGGCAUCCAAGCUCGAGUUCUCCUGUCCUUGAAUUCUUGCGCAACCGAUGUCAAGUUGUCUGCUCCUUUUGCUCAGUGUAAAUGUUUACGUGUGUUCGAUGAACGUGUUUUGUGAGGGCUGCGGAUCCACUGCGCAGGCUCCUUGUCUUCGGCAUUCCAUAAGGAACACGAUUCACUCGUGCCCGUACAAGGCGAACUGUUUUUGUGUAGUCAGUGCGGCUAUGUGAACAAAAAAGGGGGACUCAUGCGAACACACCUUCGCAAACACAGGGCCAGCGCCCUUCCAGUGCCACCUGUGCCCAGCUGCAUUUACUCAGAAAGGGAACCUCACUGCCCACAUGCGCACCCACACAGGGGAGCGUCCCUUUUCCUGUGACUGCUGCAGUGCAUCGUUCUCACAGAAACAGUCCCUUGUGUAUCACUUGCGCACUCACACAGGCGAUCGUCCAUUUUCCUGUGACCAGUGCAAUGCGUCGUUUGCAAAGAAGACCAGUCUCACUAGGCACAUGAACACCCACACAAAAUAGCGUCCAUUCUUCUGUUGCCACUGCAAUGCAUCUUUUUUAUGAAAACAACAGCUUGUAAACCACGUGUACCAUCAUCAUACAAGAAAGUCAAGAUAAAAAGUGAGUUGUGUACAGACCCUUUCUUUAAGGGGACAUGCAAGUCAAGGUUUUUUUUUAAUUUAUAAGACAGUGUAAUGAACUUUUCGCUUUUUACAUAACUUUUUAUACUGAUUUCAGAUAUGUAGUCAGUUUGUUAUUGAUUUGCACAACUUUGUUUUC